rnacentral:rRNA from 1 species
GAGUUUGAUCAUGGCUCAGGAUGAACGCUACCGACUGGCCUAUCACAUGCAAGUCGAGGGGAAACAGGGGAGCUUGCUCCCGGUGACGACCGGCGCACGGGUGAGCAACGCGUAUGGAACCUGCCCGCGACACGGGGAUAAUCCGGCGAAAGUCGGUCUAAUACCCGAUGACGUCGUCAUUUCGCAUGUUAUGACGAUUAAAGAUUCAUCGGUCGCGGAUGGUCAUGCGUGGCAUUAGGUAGUAGGCGGGGUAACGGCCCACCUAGCCGACGAUGCCUAGGGGUUCUGAGAGGAAGGUCCCCCACACUGGUACUGAGACACGGACCAGACUCCUACGGGAGGCAGCAGUGAGGAAUAUUGGUCAAUGGACGCAAGUCUGAACCAGCCAAGUCGCGUGAAGGAAGACUGCCCUAUGGGUUGUAAACUUCUUUUAUAGGGGAAUAAAGUGGGUCUCGUGAGGCCUUUUGCAUGUACCCUAUGAAUAAGCAUCGGCUAACUCCGUGCCAGCAGCCGCGGUAAUACGGAGGAUGCGAGCGUUAUCCGGAUUUAUUGGGUUUAAAGGGUGCGUAGGCGGGGCGUUAAGUCAGCGGUGAAAGUUUGCGGCUCAACCGUAAAAUUGCCGUUGAAACUGGCGUUCUUGAGUGCAAAGUGAGGCAGGCGGAAUGUGUAAUGUAGCGGUGAAAUGCAUAGAUAUUACACAGAACACCGAUUGCGAAGGCAGCCUGCUGGUAUGUAACUGACGCUGAGGCACGAAAGCGCGGGUAUCGAACAGGAUUAGAUACCCUGGUAGCCCGCGCAGUAAACGAUGAAUGCUAGUUGUUUGCGAUAUACUGUAAGUAACACAGCGAAAGCGUUAAGCAUUCCACCUGGGGAGUACGACCGCAAGGGUUGAAACUCAAAGGAAUUGACGGGGGCCCGCACAAGCGGAGGAACAUGUGGUUUAAUUCGAUGAUACGCGAGGAACCUUACCCGGGCUUGAAAGUUAGAGACGGACUUGGAAACAGGUCUUUCCGCAAGGACUCGAAACUAGGUGCUGCAUGGUUGUCGUCAGCUCGUGCCGUGAGGUGUCGGCUUAAGUGCCAUAACGAGCGCAACCCUUGUCGAUAGUUGCUAGCAGGUCAAGCUGAGGACUCUAUCGAGACUGCCACCGUAAGGUGUGAGGAAGGCGGGGAUGACGUCAAAUCAGCACGGCCCUUACGUCCGGGGCGACACACGUGUUACAAUGGGGGGUACAGAGGGACGCUACCCGGCGACGGGGUGCCAAUCUCGAAAGCCUCUCUCAGUUCGGAUCGGAGUCUGCAACUCGACUCCGUGAAGCUGGAUUCGCUAGUAAUCGCGCAUCAGCCAUGGCGCGGUGAAUACGUUCCCGGGCCUUGCACACACCGCCCGUCAAGCCAUGGAAGCCGGGGGUACCUGAAGUUCGUGACCGCGAGGAGCGACCUAGGGUAAAAAUGGUAACUGGGGUUAAGUGGUAACAAGGUAACCA